rnacentral:rRNA from 1 species
AUAGAUAGUCGGGCUUGAUUGGGAAACAAUAACUUGGUUAAUGUGCUCGUCCUGGGUAAAUAGAGUUUCUAUCAUUUAUGAUAGUUUCUUGUUCCCCGGAUAGUUUAGUUACGUAGCCAAUUGUGGAACUUUGUUGCUUAAAUUUUUAAGAAUAAUAGCCGGGCAACCGAUUAGUUCUUUUAAAUUAUAACGAUUAUCAAUUAACAAUCAAUUCAGAACUGGCACGGACUUGGGGAAUCCGACUGUCUAAUUAAAACAAAGCAUUGUGAUGGCCCUAGCGGGUGUUGACACAAUGUGAUUUUUGCCCAGUGCUCUGAAUGUCAAAGUGAAGAAAUUCAAGUAAGCGCGGGUCAACGGCGGGAGUAACUAUGACUCUCUUAAGGUAGCCAAAUGCCUCGUCAUCUAAUUAGUGACGCGCAUGAAUGGAUUAACGAGAUUCCUACUGUCCCUAUCUACUAUCUAGCGAAACCACAGCCAAGGGAACGGGCUUGGAAUAAUUAGCGGGGAAAGAAGACCCUUUUGAGCUUGACUCUAAUCUGGCAGUGUAAGGAGACAUAAGAGGUGUAGAAUAAGUGGGAGAUAUUAAGCUUCGGUUUGGUAUCGCCAAUGAAAUACCACUACUCUUAUUGUUUCCUUACUUACUUGAUUAAAUGGAACGUGUAUCAUUUCCUAGCCAUUAUACGGAUAUAUUAAUUAUGUCUUAUGGUAUUGGGUUUUGAUGCAAGCUUCUUGAUCAAAGUAUCACGAGUUUGUUAUAUAAUCGCAAACAAAUUCUUUAAUGAGAAAAUGCAUUAAUGUGUUUUCGAUUUAAUAAUUUGGUAUAACUCCAAUUACUCAGGUAUGAUCCAAUUCAAGGACAUUGCCAGGUAUGGAGUUUGACUGGGGCGGUACAUCUCUCAAAUAAUAACGGAGGUGUCCCAAGGCCAGCUCAGUGCGGACAGAAACCACACCUAGANCAAAAGGGCAAAUGCUGACUUGAUCUCGGUGUUCACUACACACAGGGGACAGCAAAAGCUCGGCCUAUCGAUCCUUUUGGUUUAAAGAGUUUUUAACAAGAGGUGUCAGAAAAGUUACCAUAGGGAUAACUGGCUUGUGGCGGCCAAGCGUUCAUAGCGACGUCGCUUUUUGAUCCUUCGAUGUCGGCUCUUCCUAUCAUUGUGAAGCAAAAUUCACCAAGCGUUGGAUUGUUCACCCAUGCAAGGGAACGUGAGCUGGGUUUAGACCGUCGUGAGACAGGUUAGUUUUACCCUACUAAUGACAAAACGUUGUUGCGACAGCAUUCCUGCGUAGUACGAGAGGAACCGCAGGUACGGACCAAUGGCACAAUACUUGUUCGAGCGAACAGUGGUAUGACGCUACGUCCGUUGGAUUAUGCCUGAACGCCUAUAAGGUUGUAUCCGUGCUGGACUGCAAUGAUAAAUAAGGGGCAAUUUGCAUUGUAUGGCUUUUAAACCAUUAAAAGUUCAUAAUUCAUUUUAUGUACGACAAUGGAUGUGAUGCCAAUGUUAUAUAUAACAUAGUAAAUUGGGAGGAUUUUCGAUCACCUGAUGCCGCGCUAGUUAUAUUUUAAAACAUUAUUUAAUACAAUGACAAAGCCUGGAAUCAAUUGUAAACGACUUUUGUAACAGGCAAGGUGUUGUAAGUGGUUGAGCAGCUGCCAUACUGCGAUCCACUGAAGCUUAUCCUUUGCUUGAUGAUUCGA